rnacentral:tRNA from 1 species
AUUUAUAUAGUAUAAAAAGUAUAAUUAAUUUCCAAUUAAUAGGUUUAUAAAUAAAUUUAAUAUAAAUA